GCCCGUGUGGCGUAAUGGCUAACGCGUCUGACUUCUAAUCAGAAGAUUGCGAGUUCGAGUCUCGCCAUGGGCU
rnacentral:tRNA from 2 species